rnacentral:rRNA from 1 species
UACGUAGGGGGCAAGCGUUGUCCGGAUUUAUUGGGCGUAAAGAGCGUGUAGGCGGUCAGGUAGGUCCGUUGUGAAAACUCGAGGCUCAACCUCGAGACGCCGAUGGAAACCAUCUGACUAGAGUCCGGAAGAGGAGAGUGGAAUUCCUGGUGUAGCGGUGAAAUGCGCAGAUAUCAGGAGGAACACCGGUGGCGAAGGCGGUUCUCUGGGCCUUACCUGACGCUGAGGAGCGAAAGCGUGGGGAGCGAACAGG